GCUUUUGCGCCAACGUAGUUUCCCUAAUUCAACAUCGAGGUCGUAAACUCUUCUUUUGAUUAGGGCUCUAAGAAAAAUUACGCUGUUACCCCUAAAGUAAUUAGAUCUUCAAUCUUUAACGGGUCAGAAAAUUCACAUAUUACUGUUGAAGUGAAAAUARGUASUAUAUUUUARCCGUCCCAGCGAAACCUCCAMUAAGUUUAAUAACUAAUURGGUGUAAUGAGGUAAAAUUUUAUAGGGUCUUAUCGUCUAYUAAGYAUAUCUAGGAAUUUUAACCUAAAUCUAAAUUUUUAAAGCCCAAGGAAAAGAGAGUUKUGCGUCRGCCCAUUCAUUCAAGUCCCCAAUUAAAGGACAAA
rnacentral:rRNA from 1 species